AGAGUUUGAUCCUGGCUCAGGAUGAACGCUGGCGGCGUGCCUAAUACAUGCAAGUCGAACGAGUUCUGAUUAUUGAAAGGUGCUUGCAUCUUGAUUUGAUUUUGAACGAGUGGCGGACGGGUGAGUAACACGUGGGUAACCUGCCCUUAAGUGGGGGAUAACAUUUGGAAACAGAUGCUAAUACCGCAUAAAUCCAAGAACCGCAUGGUUCUUGGCUGAAAGAUGGCGUAAGCUAUCGCUUUUGGAUGGACCCGCGGCGUAUUAGCUAGUUGGUGAGGUAACGGCUCACCAAGGCAAUGAUACGUAGCCGAACUGAGAGGUUGAUCGGCCACAUUGGGACUGAGACACGGCCCAAACUCCUACGGGAGGCAGCAGUAGGGAAUCUUCCACAAUGGACGCAAGUCUGAUGGAGCAACGCCGCGUGAGUGAAGAAGGCUUUCGGGUCGUAAAACUCUGUUGUUGGAGAAGAAUGGUCGGCAGAGUAACUGUUGUCGGCGUGACGGUAUCCAACCAGAAAGCCACGGCUAACUACGUGCCAGCAGCCGCGGUAAUACGUAGGUGGCAAGCGUUAUCCGGAUUUAUUGGGCGUAAAGCGAGCGCAGGCGGUUUUUUAAGUCUGAUGUGAAAGCCCUCGGCUUAACCGAGGAAGUGCAUCGGAAACUGGGAAACUUGAGUGCAGAAGAGGACAGUGGAACUCCAUGUGUAGCGGUGAAAUGCGUAGAUAUAUGGAAGAACACCAGUGGCGAAGGCGGCUGUCUGGUCUGUAACUGACGCUGAGGCUCGAAAGCAUGGGUAGCGAACAGGAUUAGAUACCCUGGUAGUCCAUGCCGUAAACGAUGAAUGCUAGGUGUUGGAGGGUUUCCGCCCUUCAGUGCCGCAGCUAACGCAUUAAGCAUUCCGCCUGGGGAGUACGACCGCAAGGUUGAAACUCAAAGGAAUUGACGGGGGCCCGCACAAGCGGUGGAGCAUGUGGUUUAAUUCGAAGCAACGCGAAGAACCUUACCAGGUCUUGACAUCUUUUGAUCACCUGAGAGAUCAGGUUUCCCCUUCGGGGGCAAAAUGACAGGUGGUGCAUGGUUGUCGUCAGCUCGUGUCGUGAGAUGUUGGGUUAAGUCCCGCAACGAGCGCAACCCUUAUGACUAGUUGCCCAGCAUUUAGUUGGGCACUCUAGUAAGACUGCCGGUGACAAACCGGAGGAAGGUGGGGAUGACGUCAAAUCAUCAUGCCCCUUAUGACCUGGGCUACACACGUGCUACAAUGGAUGGUACAACGAGUUGCGAGACCGCGAGGUCAAGCUAAUCUCUUAAAGCCAUUCUCAGUUCGGACUGUAGGCUGCAACUCGCCUACACGAAGUCGGAAUCGCUAGUAAUCGCGGAUCAGCACGCCGCGGUGAAUACGUUCCGGGGCCUUGUACACACCGCCCGUCACACCAUGAGAGUUUGUAACACCCGAAGCCGGUGGCGUAACCCUUUUAGGGAGCGAGCCGUCUAAGGUGGGACAAAUGAUUAGGGUGAAGUCGUAACAAGGUAACC
rnacentral:rRNA from 2 species